GAACGCUGGCGGAAUGCUUUACACAUGCAAGUCGAACGGCAGCACGGACUUCGGUCUGGUGGCGAGUGGCGAACGGGUGAGUAAUACAUCGGAACGUGCCCAGUCGUGGGGGAUAACGUAGCGAAAGCUACGCUAAUACCGCAUACGAUCUAAGGAUGAAAGCGGGGGAUCGCAAGACCUCGCGCGAUUGGAGCGGCCGAUGGCAGAUUAGGUAGUUGGUGGGGUAAAGGCUCACCAAGCCGACGAUCUGCAGCUGGUCUGAGAGGACGACCAGCCACACUGGGACUGAGACACGGCCCAGACUCCUACGGGAGGCAGCAGUGGGGAAUUUUGGACAAUGGGCGCAAGCCUGAUCCAGCCAUUCCGCGUGCAGGAUGAAGGCCCUCGGGUUGUAAACUGCUUUUGUACGGAACGAAAAGGCUCUGGUUAAUACCCGGGGCUCAUGACGGUACCGUAAGAAUAAGCACCGGCUAACUACGUGCCAGCAGCCGCGGUAAUACGUAGGGUGCAAGCGUUAAUCGGAAUUACUGGGCGUAAAGCGUGCGCAGGCGGUGAUGUAAGACAGAGGUGAAAUCCCCGGCUCAACCUGGGAACUGCCUUUGUGACUGCAUCGCUGGAGUACGGCAGAGGGGGAUGGAAUUCCGCGU
rnacentral:rRNA from 1 species